GACGGAGGAUGCAAGUGUUAUCCGGAAUCACUGGGCGUAAAGCGUCUGUAGGUGGUCAAAUAAGUCAACUGUUAAAUCUUGAGGCUUAACCUCAAAAUCGCAGUCGAAACUAUUAGACUAGAGUAUAGUAGGGGUAAAGGGAAUUUCCAGUGGAGCGGUGAAAUGCGUAGAUAUCUGAAGGAACAUCAGUGGCGAAAGCGACUUCCUGGACCAAUACUGACGCUCGUGUGCGAAAGCGUGGGGAGCAAACAGG
rnacentral:rRNA from 1 species